rnacentral:rRNA from 1 species
CCUACGGGAGGCUGCAGUGAGGAAUAUUGGUCAAUGGACGAGAGUCUGAACCAGCCAAGUAGCGUGAAGGAUGACUGCCCUAUGGGUUGUAAACUUCUUUUAUAUGGGAAUAAAAUGUUCCACGCAUGGGAUUUUGUAUGUACCAUAUGAAUAAGGAUCGGCUAACUCCGUGCCAGCAGCCGCGGUAAUACGGAGGAUCCGAGCGUUAUCCGGAUUUAUUGGGUUUAAAGGGAGCGUAGGUGGAUUGUUAAGUCAGUUGUGAAAGUUUGCGGCUCAACCGUAAAAUUGCAGUUGAAACUGGCAGUCUUGAGUACAGUAGAGGUGGGCGGAAUUCGUGGUGUAGCGGUGAAAUGCUUAGAUAUCACGAAGAACUCCGAUUGCGAAGGCAGUUCACUGGACUGCAACUGACACUGAGGCUCGAAAGUGUGGGUAUCAAACAGGAUUAGAUACCCUAGUAGUC